rnacentral:sRNA from 1 species
GCUGAGUGUGGUAGUGCAUACCUGUAAUCCCAGCAGCUUGGGAGGCUGAGGCAGGAGGAUACAAGUUUGAUGCCAGCCUGGGCAAAUUAGGGAGACCCUGUCUCAA